rnacentral:lncRNA from 1 species
GGGGAUAUGGGGGUGGGGGGUGGGGGAGAUGAAGGCAGACCUGAGCUGCAUGGACAGGAACAGUGGCCUAUCAUCGCUCCCUAGUGUCUGUGCUAUUGAAGACGCUUGUCCUGAAGAUGGGGGACCACCUGAAGAGGUGCCCAGGGAACAGACUCCCCUUAAAACUUGACAAGGAUAUUUCCUGGGACCUAGGCCCAGCCUUAUUAGAGCUCUGGAGAUUCAAACUCAGGUCCUCAUGCUUGGGUGGCACGUGCCUCAUCUGCUGAGCUCUUCUAUCUUUUUCUAUUCUCUGGAGAUCUAAUGAAUCCAGCUCUGACCUGCACCCCGAAGUCGCUGGUCUAGCUGGCAGAGCUGUCGGAGGAAGCCGCGAUUGGGGAAGAUCCAUCGGCGCUCCCUCACAGUGAUUAUGGCCUGCUGCAAGGACAGCUGCUGGUGGAGCAUGAGGUAAGCCAGGACCAGUGUGGCUGAUCGGCUCACGCCCACCACGCAGUGCACCAGCACCUUAGCUGAAGAAGAUGCGCAGAUGAAGGACUCCUCUCGACCAGCCAGCCCACCCAGGGUCUAUUCCCGAACCUGUAUUGGGUGUAUCAUGGGACCUGGAGCAAGUUCCUCAA